rnacentral:rRNA from 1 species
UGGGGGAUAUUGCACAAUGGGCGAAAGCCUGAUGCAGCGACGCCGCGUGGGGGAUGAAGGCCUUCGGGUUGUAAACUUCUUUUGCUCUGAACAAGGCAUGCUAAUGGGUGUGUUGAGUGUAGGGGUUGAUUAGCGCCGGCUAACUACGUGCCAGCAGCCGCGGUAAUACGUAGGGCGCGAGCGUUGUCCGGAAUUAUUGGGCGUAAAGGGCUUGUAGGUGGCUGGUUGCGUCUGUCGUGAAAGCUCAUGGCUUAACUGUGGGUUGGCGGUGGGUACGGGCUGGCUUGAGUGCAGUAGGGGAGGCUGGAAUGCCUGGUGUAGCGGUGGAAUGCGCAGAUAUCAGGAGGAAUACCGGUGGCGAAGGCGGGUCUCUGGGCUGUUACUGACACUGAGGAGCGAAAGCAUGGGGGGCGAACAGG